GGUUGCUAGGCCGGUUGCUAAGAUGAGCCGGGCAGGGGGGAGACAUACGACGAUCGCGCGAGCCUCAAAUCUUCAGGGGGCUACACGAGACGACGCACGGCGACUUCGCUCCGAAUAUAUUUACAGUUUUAGUGUUGAAAUAUUUAUUGGCAGACGCUGAAUUGUUAUUAAUUGUCGACCUAAAAGUGUGAUUAUCAAAUUGUGACGAGUGUGGGCCUGCCAACAACGUUUAAAUAGUGUGCGACGCAGUGCAAAAAUGGAAGGAAGGACGAAGGAUGGACGUAGGAAUCGGCGUUACAAGGUGGUGAAUCCAGCAGAAGAAAAUCAACUCUCGCAGCAAAGUUGGUCCCCUGGCUGGUGUAUCAGUGUUCUAAAAGUGAUCAUGUGUGGUGCGGUGUAGUGCUGAGACUAAAGAUGAGACUUAAUCGAGUGUCGAGACUGUGACUUGAGUGUUGAGACAUUAGAACUGAGAACUUGGACUUGAGUGCUAGUGAAAUGUUUGCUUGAAAACAGCAAUGCAAGUACGAAGAGGAUGGAUUUGGGAAGCAGCUACGGUAGCAGUGAAUGCAGAAGAAGAAACCCAACUUCGGCAGAGUCUGUGAGUCGUGUGUGUUGAAUUUGCUGUCUAACUUUCCUCAAUCUUUUCUAUCGCGUAGCAUGGCGGUACCAAUGUUCUUAUUUAUAUGUAUUAUGUACUAUUAUGUAAUUUGAUUUAUCGAUUCCAGCUUUCAAAAUAGUUUAUCAUUUUUUUUGCAAUUCAAGAGUCCUAUUUAUUAAAAAAGUCAAUUCAAUCAAUUUAUCAAUUCAUUAAUCACAAAUCUUUUAAAAAAUAUCUUUCUAACAAAUUCAGUCGAGUCUUUUCCAUAGAUCUUUUAGAAAUAAACUAAAAAUCUAGUAAGCUUUGGAUAGGAUGUAUUAACCCGUUCUCUCCCUACAGUGAAACUCAACAGAGUAAGUCCUGAACCACGUUGUAUGAUUGAUGCGUAUAGAAUAUGUGUGUUGGUGAGAAUGUGAUUCGUAAUUAAAUAUGGGUAAUAGGUAGGAAUGGGCAGGCCGGGUGUUGUAUGUGGGUCGAAUAGUAUGUGUGCUAUUGGCGAUACAAACCCUGAGUUGAGACUGGCUUGGGAACGUCAGUUUCAAUCUUGGGGUUUGAUUAGAUCGGUUCGUUGGGUUGGGGGGUAAACCAAGGCGAGAGUAGGGAGGAAUCGCGAACGGAUAAGCAGGUAGUUAAUAAGCGGUGCGUUUUUUCGUUUUACAGCGUUUAACAAUCACAUAUAUUUGGCAUCCAUUGCUUUCAUCUCUGUCAAUUGUUCCCAAAAUCAAAUCGAUUCUUCAUAAUCUAAUAUUCAUGAUAUCUAGUAAUUUUUAUUCAAACAUUCAGUCUUAUGAAUAAUAAAACUUGCUCAGUUAUCCAACAAACUUCAAUUCCUGUUGAGAAAAGUCUAGUCUUUUCUUUCAUAGACCUCUUAAAGGAAAAAUAAAAAAUAAAGCCAAGUGAUUGUUUGACUAGGCAAUAUGCUUCCCCUUAUCUCUGUGCUAACGUGGGGCACAGAAUAAGAUGGGAUGCUGAGCCUGAAGCCAUCGUGCCGAAGAGGAUCGCCGACCGCCAUGCUACCAAUUUUCUCUGCUUCUAUUUUUCCUUUUCUUCUUUCUCUAUUUUUCAAUUCUUGAAUGCUCUUCUUAUCUUCUGUGUGUGGUAGUUGAGAGUCUUGAAGCUAGUGUGCCAAUAGAGCUCGGACUCGAACUUUGCAUAUUUGUGAACAUGUACUCACAUCACCUUGCUAAAUGUUUCAGAUCUUCAAGUGAGAGGAUUUAGCCUACCAGAGUCUUCAAUUAGAAAAUACUUGGAUUACAUGGAAUUCUGAAACUAAUCUGAAUUGCUGUCUGUUUCAGGUCUACCAGUGAGCGGGGUCUUUGUCGAAGAAGUCCUCGGAUAAGACAAAUUUUUUCCUCGUUUUUAUUCCAACACUAAUAUGAUCUUCUGUUGGUUUCAGGUCACCGCAGAGAGCGAGGUGUUCUGAGAAUACCUCGAACUUGAUGGAUGCCCGGAGAGCAGUCUUUCUUUGUGAUUAAAGGUGCCUAAAUGUUCUAGGUUUUCUACUUCAUGGUACCAACGUAUCAUGACCAACGUUAGAAAAGACUUCGAGGAUAGAAACCAAAUCGAAAAUGACGAAAGUGCUGCUGGCGAUCAAGUAAUGGAUUCAGAACGCAUUAACUGCAAGUGAGUUUAAAUUGGAUGCAUUAUUCUUUGAGCAUCUAAAAAAAAAAGUAUGGUUGCAAAAUCGAACAUUAGGGAUAGAAGGAUAUUUAGUCGGUUCCACAAGAA